rnacentral:rRNA from 1 species
UGGGGAAUAUUUCGCAAUGGGGGAAACCCUGAAGCAGCGACGCCGCGUGCGGGAUGAAGGCCUUCGGGUUGUAAACCGCCUUUGAUUGGGAGCAAGCAUUCGGGUGAGUGUACCUUUCGAAUAAGCGCCGGCUAACUACGUGCCAGCAGCCGCGGUAAUACGUAGGGCGCAAGCGUUAUCCGGAAUUAUUGGGCGUAAAGGGUACGUAGGCGGCCUAGUAAGAUAGAAGUUAAAGAAUAUAGCUCAACUAUAUAAAGCUUUUAAAACUGCUAGGCUUGAGAGAUGGAAGGGAAAGUGGAAUUCCUAGUGUAGCGGUGAAAUGCGCAGAUAUUAGGAAGAAUACCGGUGGCGAAGGCGACUUUCUGGUCAUCAUCUGACGCUGAGGUACGAAAGCGUGGGUAGCAAACAGG